GACGAACGCUGGCGGCGUGCUUAACACAUGCAAGUCGUACGAUGACCCGGCUCUUCGGUGCUGGUGAUUAGUGGCGAACGGGUGAGUAACACGUGGGUGACCUGCCCUGCACUCUGGGAUAAGCCCGGGAAACUGGGUCUAAUACUGGAUACGAGCAGUGGCCGCAUGGUCUGCUGGGGGAAAGCCCUUCGGGGGGGGGUGGGAUGGGGUCGCGGCAUGUUGGCUUGUUGGUGGGGUGGUGGCUUAGCAAGGCGAGGACGGGUAGCCGGCGGGAGAGGGUGACAGGCAGCAUUGGGAGUGAGAUCCGGCACAGACUCAUACGGGAGGCAGCAGGGGGGAAUUGUGUACAAUGGGCGGAAGCCUGAUGCAGCAACGCCGGGUGGGGGAUGACGGCCUUCGGGUUGUAAACCGCUUUCGCCUGUGACGAAGCGUGAGUGACGGUAAUGGGUAAAGAAGCACCGGCUAACUACGUG
rnacentral:rRNA from 1 species